AGUGAACGCUGGCGGUAGGCCUAACACAUGCAAGUCGAACGGCAGCACAGUAAGAGCUUGCUCUUACGGGUGGCGAGUGGCGGACGGGUGAGGAAUACAUCGGAAUCUACUUUUUCGUGGGGGAUAACGCAGGGAAACUUACGCUAAUACCGCAUACGACCUACGGGUGAAAGCAGGGGAUCUUCGGACCUUGCGCGAUUGAAUGAGCCGAUGUCGGAUUAGCUAGUUGGCGGGGUAAAGGCCCACCAAGGCGACGAUCCGUAGCUGGUCUGAGAGGAUGAUCAGCCACACUGGAACUGAGACACGGUCCAGACUCCUACGGGAGGCAGCAGUGGGGAAUAUUGGACAAUGGGCGCAAGCCUGAUCCAGCCAUACCGCGUGGGUGAAGAAGGCCUUCGGGUUGUAAAGCCCUUUUGUUGGGAAAGAAAGGCAGCAGGUUAAUACCCCGCUGUUCUGACGGUACCCAAAGAAUAAGCACCGGCUAACUUCGU
rnacentral:rRNA from 1 species